rnacentral:lncRNA from 1 species
AUGUUUGCUGUAACAUCUCCGUCGCUCUGCUGGACUUUACUGUGUGUCUGCCUCGUGGGGUUUAUCUGUGCAGCAGGAUCAUUUGUAGUGAAUGUGACUCAGACCUCCUAUCAGGCAGAGGAGAACCACAACAUCACACUGGAGUGGACGUUCACAGUAGAAACAGGCAGAUCCCCCACAUAUCUAAACAUCUACUGUGACCUGGUAACUGGUAAUAAAUCCUCACUCCUGUAUCGUGUCCAUGAUGGUGCUGAAGUCUCAGAGUCUCAGGAUGAAAAGUUUUCAGGACGAGUUCAGAGUGACAAAGACGCCCUCAGAGAAGGACGAAUCAGACUCCAGCUGUGCAGACUCAGGACUGAGGACUCGGGACAAUGCAGAUGUAAUGUGUACACAGAUUAUGGCUUCAGCUCUGCGAGUUGCAGACUCAACGUCACUGCAGCUGCUGAUCAGCUCACAACUCAGAGACCAACUUCACCACCACAAGAAGAGAGAGACUGGAAGAUUAUUAUAAUUGUCCUGACAGCAGCAGCAGCAUUAUUAUUAUUAUUAGCUGUGCUGAUUGUGUGCACUUUACUUUGUGUUAAGUUCAGAAAGAAGUGCCAAACUUCUGGACAGCUGUAA